rnacentral:pre_miRNA from 1 species
GUGGGAGGCCGAGACGGGCGGAUCACGAGGUCAGGAGAUCGNCGAUCUCCUGACCUCGUGAUCCGCCCGUCUCGGCCUCCCAA